rnacentral:rRNA from 1 species
UACGGGGGGGGCAAGCGUUGUUCGGAAUUACUGGGCGUAAAGGGCGCGUAGGCGGCCCGCUAAGUCGGAUGUGAAAACUCUGGGCUCAACCCAGGAAGUGCACUCGAAACUGCCGGGCUAGAGUAUCGGAGAGGUUGGUGGAAUUCUCGGUGUAGAGGUGAAAUUCGUAGAUAUCGAGAGGAACACCGGUGGCGAAGGCGGCCAACUGGACGAAUACUGACGCUGAGACUCGAAAGCGUGGGGAGCAAACAGG